GAUGAACGCUGGCGGCGUGCCUAAUACAUGCAAGUCGAGCGAACGGACGAGAAGCUUGCUUCUCUGAUGUUAGCGGCGGACGGGUGAGUAACACGUGGAUAACCUACCUAUAAGACUGGGAUAACUUCGGGAAACCGGAUCUAAUACCGGAUGAUAUUUUGAACCGCAUGGUUCAAAAGUGAAAGACGGUCUUCCUGUCACUUAUAGAUGGAUCCGCGCUGCAUUAGCUAGUUGGUAAGGUAACGGCUUACCAAGGCAACGAUGCAUAGCCGACCUGAGAGGGUGAUCGGCCACACUGGAACUGAGACACGGUCCAGACUCCUACGGGAGGCAGCAGUAGGGAAUCUUCCGCAAUGGGCGAAAGCCUGACGGAGCAACGCCGCGUGAGUGAUGAAGGUCUUCGGAUCGUAAAACUCUGUUAUUAGGGAAGAACAUAUGUGUAAGUAACUGUGCACAUCUUGACGGUACCUAAUCAGAAAGCCACGGCUAACUACGUG
rnacentral:rRNA from 1 species